rnacentral:tRNA from 1 species
UCCCUGGUGGCUCAGACGGUAAAGCGUCUGCCUGCAAUGCAGGAGGCCCAGGUUCGAUCCCUGGGUUGGGAA